rnacentral:rRNA from 1 species
UGGGGAAUAUUGCGCAAUGGGGGAAACCCUGACGCAGCAACGCCGCGUGAAGGAUGAAGGCUUUCGGGUCGUAAACUUCUGUCAAGAGGGAAGAAUAAGGGGCGGCUAAUACCCGUGCCCUUUGACGGUACCUCUAAAGGAAGCCCCGGCUAACUCCGUGCCAGCAGCCGCGGUAAUACGGAGGGGGCAAGCGUUGUUCGGAUUUACUGGGCGUAAAGGGCGCGUAGGCGGUCCGGUUAGUCGGUUGUGAAAGCCCUCGGCUUAACCGAGGAAUGGCGAUCGAUACUGCCGGACUAGAGUACGGGAGGGGAGAGUGGAAUUCCCAGUGUAGCGGUGAAAUGCAUAGAUAUUGGGAAGAACACCGAUGGCGAAGGCAGCUCUCUGGACCGUUACUGACGCUGAGGUGCGAAAGCCAGGGGAGCGAACGGG